GGGGGUAUAGCUCAGUUGGUAGAGCGCUGCCUUUGCAAGGCAGAUGUCAGGGGUUCGAGUCCCCUUACCUCCA
rnacentral:tRNA from 2 species